rnacentral:rRNA from 1 species
AUUGAACGCUGGCGGCAGGCCUAACACAUGCAAGUCGAACGAGUGGCGGACGGGUGAGUAAUGUCUGGAAAAGGCCGGAUUGGGGGGGUUAAUUAACGGAAACGGUUGAUAAAUCCCCAAUCCCUCCGAGUGUCCCAGAAGGGGUUUGGUUGUUGGUGGGGUAAUGGCCCACCCAGGCGACGGUCCCUAGCUGGUCUGAGAGGAUGACCAGCCACACUGGAACUGAGACACGGUCCAGACUCCUACGGGAGGCAGCAGUGGGGAAUAUUGCACAAUGGGCGCAAGCCUGAUGCAGCCAUGCCGCGUGUAUGAAGAAGGCCUUCGGGUUGUAAAGUACUUUCAGCGGGGAGGCGUUACCCGCAGAAGAAGCACCGGCUAACUCCGUGCCAGCAGCCGCGGUAAUUC